CCCCGGCUCUUUGGGCGCCUUGGGCUAGCGGGAGGAGGCAGGGAUGGGGGAGACCGCGGCUUCCUCCCCUUUUCCUCCACCCCCGGCUCGCUCCCUCCUUCCCUCCUUCCCAGCUUGGCCUCCCCUGUUCCCAGUCUCGGGGCUCCUUUUAGCCCGCCGCCCUUUGGAGAGAGCCGCCUUUUCGCGGGGACUUCUGCUUUUCUGCCCCCGACUCGGACCCCCAAUCUCCCUCAGUCUCAUCCCCCAGCACCAGCAGCGGCAGCGGCGGCGGGACUGAGUGACCGAAGCCUCUCCCCCCCAACCCCCCGGUAACCUUGGAGGCGCCCUCGCACAAAUUUGGAAACCCGUGAACCAGAAGACUAGACAGAGAGACAGCAUGUUAAUUGUACAAAUGAAGAGGAAGAGAGAAGCUCUCCAAAGUGACUGUGUCCCAGGUGGAGCUUCAGGAUCUUGCUCACAGAUUGUUAAAAUUGAGUAAGAAGAUGAGAGUCACAGCUGGCUGCCCUCCUUUGGACUUCUUUAGGAUCCCAGGCAUCUCACCAUCCUGCAAGAUCACACCAGUCCUGGUAUUCACACCUCAUCAACACUCUCUGCCCCUGAAACCCUUUGGAUUGAAGAGUGGAACAAAGGGCAUGUAACAUCAACAACAAAGUAUAAAGAAUCUGGCAAUAAAACAAAAUAAAAAUCCAAAA